CUAAACAGAGUAUGACAGGUCAACUAGUUAGGACAUACUAAUCAAGCAUUUAUAUUAAUACUUCUCAAAGUGAUAAGGUAUCAACUAGUUAGGACAUACUAAUCAAGCAUUUAUAUUGAACUUCGAAACUGAACCAAACAGUAGGAUAUUACACUUAUCAAAACUGAACAUUACAUAGUACUGAUUAUUACACUUCUGAAGGUUACAGAAAUUUGAGAGAGAGAGAGAGAGCAGCAAGGUUGGGAAAGGAGCAGCGGUAGGGGUGUGAGGAGAGAAGCAGCAGAAGUUUUCUGGUUCAGAAAAGAAGACAACAGCAAGAGGCGUGGGCAAGAAGAGAGCAGCAGAAGCAAGUUGAGGACAGCAGCAGCAAGGCAGAGAAAAGAGAGAGCAGCAACAGAAGGUUCCUGGGAGAGGGAGCAGCAGCAGAUCACGGGAAAAGGAGUAGCAGGAGGAGUGGAGAUCAGCAAGGGGGCGAAGUAGGAGAAGAGCAACAGUAAAGGGAUUGAAGGAGGAGAAGAGAGGUGGAGGAGCAGCAAGGGGAAGAAGAAGGGCAGCAGCAAGGCAGGGGAAGAAGAAGGCAGCGGCAGAAGGCAAGGUCGCGCGGGGCACCAGACCCCUGGUCUGGUAGGGCGCACGAGCGAUGAUGGUGAAGGGGUGGCGCUGAUGGAUGGUGCAGCGGCGCGAGGUGGUGAUGGAGUGGAUGGAUGGUGGUGUAUGGAGGUGCUGGUGGACGGAGGGCGCGGUGGAGCGGUGGCGCGCUGCCACGCCGGCCUGGCCGCGGCGACGGCCAGAGGUGGAGAAGGUUGGGGGAGAGGGAGAUGGAGAUGCCAGGCUCGAUUUGGGAAUGGAUGCAUCUAGGGAUUUUGAUCCCCAUCUGAUCUGCCACUUUUAUGAUUUGGCCCUCCUCUUCUA
rnacentral:rRNA from 1 species